UGGGGAAUAUUGGGCAAUGGGCGCAAGCCUGACCCAGCCAUGCCGCGUGAGUGAUGAAGGCCUUCGGGUCGUAAAGCUCUGUGGGGAGGGAAGAAACACCUUGCCGAUAAUACCGGCGGGGCUUGACGGUACCUCCUUAGCAAGCCCCGGCUACCUCCGUGCCCGCAGCCGCGGUAAUACGGAGGGUGCAAACGUUGGUCGGAAUCAUUGGGCGUAAAGCGCACGUAGGCGGCCUGUUAAGUCGGGUGUGAAAGCCCUGGGCUCAACCCAGGAAGUGCACUCGAAACUGGCGGGCUUGAAUAUGGAAGAGGGUCGCGGAAUUCCCGGUGUGGAGGUGAAAUUCGUAGAUAUCGGGAGGAACACCAGUGGCGAAGGCGGCGACCUGGGCCAAUAUUGACGCUGAGGUGCGAAAGCGUGGGGAGCAAAC
rnacentral:rRNA from 1 species